AGCUUGGCUUUUGAUUCUGUGAUCAAUUUCAGUGGAUUACUUAGUUUCAUUUCUUCAUUUGCAACUGCCUGAAAGAAAUUGAAAAACUGAAGCAAGGAUGCCCGGAGGCAUGGUACAUUGGGGAAAACCGAGCAAAGGCUGCAACAACGUAUGAAUGGGCACCGCAUAACAAUCAACAGACAGGAGGGUUCCCUCCCAGUUGGGGAACACUUCACUGGUCCAGGACAUUCAGCGUCAGACCUUCGGGUGACCAUCCUCCAAGGUGGACUUCGGGACAGGCAGCAGAGAAAAGUGGCCAAGCAGAGGCUGAUAGCUAAGUUCGGUACCCAUAGGGAGGGCCUCAACUGGGACCUUGGGUUCAUGUCACAUUACAGGCAAGGAUGCCCGGAGGCAUGGUACAUUGGGGAAAACCGAGCAAAGGCUGCAACAACGUAUGAAUGGGCACCGCAUAACAAUCAACAGACAGGAGGGUUCCCUCCCAGUUGGGGAACACUUCACUGGUCCAGGACAUUCAGCGUCAGACCUUCGGGUGACCAUCCUCCAAGGUGGACUUCGGGACAGGCAGCAGAGAAAAGUGGCCAAGCAGAGGCUGAUAGCUAAGUUCGGUACCCAUAGGGAGGGCCUCAACUGGGACCUUGGGUUCAUGUCACAUUACAGGCAAGGAUGCCCGGAGGCAUGGUACAUUGGGGAAAACCGAGCAAAGGCUGCAACAACGUAUGAAUGGGCACCGCAUAACAAUCAACAGACAGGAGGGUUCCCUCCCAGUUGGGGAACACUUCACUGGUCCAGGACAUUCAGCGUCAGACCUUCGGGUGACCAUCCUCCAAGGUGGACUUCGGGACAGGCAGCAGAGAAAAGUGGCCAAGCAGAGGCUGAUAGCUAAGUUCGGUACCCAUAGGGAGGGCCUCAACUGGGACCUUGGGUUCAUGUCACAUUACAGGUUCACUGAUGCCAUCACAAUCAUCUGUCGAAUCUCAGAUAGCGAUGAAACAGACUACAGAGGGGAAGUGGAAGACCUGGAAAAAUGGUGCACUGAGAACAGCCUACCUCUUAAUGCCAGCAAAACCAAAGAACUCAUUAUUGACUAUUGGCAGGAUGUUACUCAUGCCCCGCCAACACAUUAACAGCACAGAGGUGGAGGGAGUGGAGAGUAUCUAGCUCCUGGGAGUGGUCAUCCACAACAGGCUUUCUUGGACUCUUCAUGUGGAUGCACUGGUUACAAAGGCCCAACAAUGUCUCUUCUUCCUCAGGCAGCUGAGGAAAUUUGGUCUGACGGUGAAUACCCUUGCCAGCUUUUAUAGGUGCAUCAUAGAGAGCAUUCUGUCUGGAUGUAUCACUACCUGGUAUGGCAACUGUACCAUUCAAGAUCGGAGACAGUUACAGAGAGUGGUGAACUGGGUCUGGACAAUCACAAAGACCAACCUCCCAUCCAUAGAAUCCAUCCACCAGGCCCGCUGUUAAGGAAAGGCAGCCAGCAUUCUCAAAGAUCCAUCCCAUCCUGGCAAUGUUUUUUUACAAUGUCUACCAUCAGGGAGAAGGUACAGAAACCAGAACACACCCAUCAGCCACUUUUGAAGCAGUUACCACCCUACUGUUAGAAUACUGAAUGUACUCACACACUCUUAACAUUCGCCUGUACCUGUGUUUUUGUUUUUGCUGCCGGUACCCAUUAUUUACUUUCUGUGUUACCUAACGCUAUGAUCUGCCUGUAUUGCUCGCAAAACAAAGCUCUUCACUGUGCCUUGGUACACAUGAUAAUAAAUUGAAUGCAAUAUUUAA